GUUUUGGUCAGUAUUGAUUUGGUCUUGUCAAAUUGCUCUUGUUUAUUUUUUGCAGUCAUCUAUCUUGGCUUCAGAUGUUGUUCAUCUGGAGUGACAUUUGCUUACACAUCAAUUAGCAAAGUGACUUAGAUGUAUAUAUUUUUGUAGGUCUGGUUAUUUUUAGAGGGGUCUGGAUGUUGCCAGGUUAAGUUGCAUUUCUACCUCUGCUUUUUGAAUAUCUGUCAGGUAACAACUAUAAAUUUGGGGCUGUAACUUACCACUGAUCAUGAAAUUUGUUUGCAGAUUUACACAGAUGUUCAAAAUGGGCAAGCAAAGAGGUGAGCCACAAUGGCUACCCCUAAUAUCUGUGCUUGAGGUUUGAUAUGUGAGGAUUUGGCAGAUCAACCUCAAAGUUUGGAAAAGCUGUACUCCCUUCUUCAGUGAACAAAACCUGAUGCUGCUUAAUUCAUAAGCAGUGCGGUAUUGCCUGAAAAGCAGUGGGAAGAUCAAACAGCCUUUCAGCCAGCUGCUCAACAUUGGUCACUGCCUUUGGAGAACGAUGAACCCAUCAGCGCAGCUGAGCGCUGCUGUAGAUCACCCAGCACAUGCAGAGGUAAGCUGAGAGCCGAGAAUGACCUUGAGCACUGUACCAACAGCAUUUGGCCACGACCAGUAAUAAUGUCAAUCUGUUAUCUCCCAGAACAAUCCAACAAGCUACUGGAGACAAGGUCGCAGACUGGGGACCCCAGAGCUGUUUUUAACUGCUUGCAUCUGAAAGUGCAUCUAAAUUCAGUUUGGUGAAAUUGCUGCAACAUUAGAAACCAUCACUGUAAUUAGGCUUCACAGAGCCCUUUAUCUAUAUUCCUACACUCUGUUUUGUAAAUAUAAGAUAGCAGACGUAAGAGGGUGUCAUUCCCUCUGGUGUCAAAAUUUGGGUAAAUCACUAGAAAAACAGUAUUCUUGGUGUGGUAACAAACACGAUAAAAUGUUAUUUUCCCCUUUUUAAAUCCUGACAAGCUGUAGAAAGCAGCAACUUUACAGCCUCUCUCAAAACACAUUAUAAUAUAGGACAUUACUUUAUGCUGUUCCUAAUGUUUUGGCUGUUAUUUGCUAACUACAAUGGCAUGUUAAUGUUGGCUACUUCACAGGUUACUGAGGAGUAGAAUCCCUGUUCCAAACAGUUUUCAUUUAAUAAAAGAGAGAGUAAAAGUGAAGGAAUUAGUUCC
rnacentral:lncRNA from 1 species